AAUGUAGUGUUCAGGAGGAUCAUGGGUAAUGUAGUGUUCAGGAGGAUCAUGGGUAAUGUAGUGUUCAGGAGACUCUUCUGCAUCUGUGUCCACAACGUUUAUGAAAAUGACACAAAGUUCAUCCAAAACUGAUUUAAUUAAACCCAGUGUUUUUACAGAUUUAUUCUAUAAACGUAUGUUUAGUCAAACGAACUGUAGGAUUCUCUGAAUUUAAUGGUCUUCUUAAUUAUUCCUUUGAUUAAUUCUUGUUAAUAGUCGAGUCUAAGCAGAAAAUAGUAGAUAGUGUUUUUAUUUAUGUGUUAAUACGUUCACAAACAGUCUUAUCUGGUACAUUCACGUAAAUAUAUUAAGAUGUACAUUCAUGUUCCAUUUAUUAAUAUCUAUAAAGAGAACAUUUAUUUAUAAACGCUGAACGAGGUGAUAAUAAAUAACAAACGCAUCAACAUUUAUUAACCUUUAAUGUCUAAAAACGGACACUUUUUUGUUCUAAUACAAUGCACUAAUGACAAAAAUCUGCUUUAAACAUAUGUAAUAAUUCACUUUUUUAUUUUCCCACGAAUAUCAAAGUAACUUUAACCAUGAACUCAUCCAUCUGAAACAUCUGAAGAAGCUCCAAACUGAUGUUUAACUGUAAUAUAUGAGACAAAACCAAACAGUAAUUAUUGAAAAUAACAGGGUUUCACGUCGUUCGCCUCAAACACAGAGAAACAGAAAAUGCCCGACAGUCGGAACAG